rnacentral:tRNA from 1 species
CGGGGCGUAGCGCAGCCUGGUAGCGCGCUUGAAUGGGGUUCAAGAGGUCGAGAGUUCAAAUCUCUCCGCCCCGACCA